GGCGGACGGGUGAGUAACGCGUGAGCAAUCUGCCUUUAGGUGGGGGACAACAGCUGGAAACGGCUGCUAAUACCGCAUAAUGCAGCGAAGUCGCAUGGCUUUGCUGCCAAAGGAGCAAUCCGCCUUUAGAUGAGCUCGCGUCCCAUUAGAUAGUUGGCGGGGUAAUGGCCCACCAAGUCGACGAUGGGUAGCCGGACUGAGAGGUUGAACGGCCACAUUGGGACUGAGACACGGCCCAGACUCC
rnacentral:rRNA from 1 species